GACCAGACUCCUACGGGAGGCAGCAGUGAGGAAUAUUGGUCAAUGGGCGGGAGCCUGAACCAGCCAAGUCGCGUGAGGGAAGACGGUCCUACGGAUUGUAAACCUCUUUUGCCGGGGAGCAAAAAGGCCUCGUGAGGCCACAAGUGAGAGUACCCGAAGAAAAAGCAUCGGCUAACUCCGUGCCAGCAGCCGCGGUAAUACGGAGGAUGCGAGCGUUAUCCGGAUUUAUUGGGUUUAAAGGGUGCGUAGGCGGACUGGAAAGUCAGCGGUAAAAUCGAGAGGCUCAACCUCUUUCCGCCGUUGAAACUGUCGGUCUUGAGUGGGCGAGAAGUAUGCGGAAUGCGUGGUGUAGCGGUGAAAUGCAUAGAUAUCGCGCAGAACUCCGAUUGCGAAGGCAGCGUACCGGCGCCGGACUGACGCUGAGGCACGAAAGCGUGGGUAUCGAACAGGAUUAGAUACCCCGGUAC
rnacentral:rRNA from 1 species